UGGAUCCAGACUUUGAUCCUGGCUCAGGACGAACGCUGGCGGCGUGCUUAACACAUGCAAGUCGAACGGAGAACUUAUUUCGGUAAGUUCUUAGUGGCGAACGGGUGAGUAACGCGUGGGCAACCUGCCCUCCAGUUGGGGACAACAUUCCGAAAGGGAUGCUAAUACCGAAUGUGCUCCCUCCUCCGCAUGGAGGAGGGAGGAAAGAUGGCCUCUGCUUGCAAGCUAUCGCUGGAAGAUGGGCCCGCGUCUGAUUAGCUAGUUGGUGGGGUAACGGCUCACCAAGGCGAUGAUCAGUAGCCGGUCUGAGAGGAUGAACGGCCACAUUGGGACUGAGACACGGCCCAAACUCCUACGGGAGGCAGCAGUGGGGAAUCUUCCGCAAUGGACGAAAGUCUGACGGAGCAACGCCGCGUGAGUGAUGAAGGUCUUCGGAUUGUAAAACUCUGUUGUUAGGGACGAAAGCACCGUGUUCGAACAGGUCAUGGUGUUGACGGUACCUAACGAGGAAGCCACGGCUAACUACGUGCCAGCAGCCGCGGUAAUACGUAGGUGGCAAGCGUUGUCCGGAAUUAUUGGGCGUAAAGAGCAUGUAGGCGGGCUUUUAAGUCUGACGUGAAAAUGCGGGGCUUAACCCCGUAUGGCGUUGGAUACUGGAAGUCUUGAGUGCAGGAGAGGAAAGGGGAAUUCCCAGUGUAGCGGUGAAAUGCGUAGAUAUUGGGAGGAACACCAGUGGCGAAGGCGCCUUUCUGGACUGUGUCUGACGCUGAGAUGCGAAAGCCAGGGUAGCAAACGGGAUUAGAUACCCCGGUAGUCCUGGCCGUAAACGAUGGAUACUAGGUGUAGGAGGUAUCGACCCCUUCUGUGCCGGAGUUAACGCAAUAAGUAUCCCGCCUGGGGACUACGAUCGCAAGAUUGCAACUCAAAUGAAUUGACGGAUCCCGC
rnacentral:rRNA from 1 species